GUUAUCUCGAUCAUAGGCGGGCCCGUGUUCCUCGGACGAUCGGAGAGGCGCGGUUCGUUUUUCCCGUGGAUCACGGCACGGUGCACACUGGUUGGAUUGUCGUGUACUCGCGGAUAAAGCAGCGAGAUGCGCGAUCUUACGCGGGUAGCUUACAUAAAGAGUGUCGCGUCAGUGCACAAAACGUGGCGGGAGCGAGCCGAGUUUCGAUUGGAUCAAUUAUUCCACGGGCGAGCCUCGACUCUCCGGGCUCUAGGAAUCUUACUGAGCAUGAGCAGUAACGUUACUUGGUCUACGCCGUGGUAUUCCGCUUUACCCGGCAGCGAGACAGGCCUGCGUGCGCUGCUCCCUACGGUGUAUGCCGCGCGUGAACUGGUGUGCACGGACAGUCCACGCAGACGCACUCAAAACGCAUUCGCCCGCCGUCUACGUUUGCGUGAUGCAGUCGAUGCACUCUUGCACGCACACCCGCGUGGUACGCAUACUCACGGUGUUGACGUUACUUAAAAAGUUAAAGUAAAGAUACUGACUGAAACCAUCAGUAUGGCGUAUGGAAAUGAUGUUAUAAUUGUUAUGAAAGAAGAAGAAACGUAGAAGAAUUAAACCGCUGAGGAGUACUAAACAGACGGAAGAUACCGCCUACGUAGAUAUUGUGG